rnacentral:rRNA from 1 species
AGGACGAACGCUGGCGGCGUGCUUAACACAUGCAAGUCGAGCGGAAAGGCCCUUCGGGGUACUCGAGCGGCGAACGGGUGAGUAACACGUGAGCAACCUGCCCUUAGCUCUGGGAUAGCUCCGGGAAACCGGAAUUAAUACCGGAUACGACCUAGGCCGACAUCGGCCAUGGUGGAAAGUUUUUCGGCUAGGGAUGGACUCGCGGCCUAUCAGCUAGUUGGUGGGGUAGAAGCCUACCAAGGCGACGACGGGUA